rnacentral:misc_RNA from 1 species
GAUGAAGAACGCAGCGAAAUGCGAUACGUAGUGUGAAUUGCAGAAUUCCGUGAACCAUCGAAUCUUUGAACGCAAAUUGCGCUCGAGGCCUCGGCCAAGAGCAUGUCUGCCUCAGCGUCGGCUACUACCCUCAACUAAGUUUCCUAUACACAUAGGGGAUGCCGGUUGGAUCUGGCCGUCCGGUUUGCCUUUUAGGUUGCCGGUCAGCUGAAAUACAUUCACGCUCUGGGGGCUGCUUUCCUUCCGAGGAGAGGCGAGUUCCGAUUUGGUAGGUGACCUUUGCCGGUUGCAUGCCUUCGUUGCCCGCUAAGCUUUCCAGUAUGCGUUGUGCAGGACGCCUUUUGGCUUUCGACCUGAGGUCAGGCAAGAACACCCGCUGAACUUAAGCAUAUCAAUAAGCGGGAGGA